AUACGGAGGGUGCGAGCGUUAUUCGGAAUUACUGGGCGUAAAGCGCGUGCAGGCGGGGAGGCAAGUCUGAUGUGAAAGCCCUGGGCUUAACCCGGGAAGUGCAUUGGAAACUGUCUUUCUUGAGUACUGGAGAGGAAGGGGGAAUUCCCGGUGUAGAGGUGAAAUUCGUAGAGAUCGGGAGGAAUACCAGUGGCGAAGGCGCCCUUCUGGACGGUUACUGACGCUGAGACGCGAAAGCGUGGGGAGCAAACAGGAUUAGAUACCCUGGUAGUCCACGCUGUAAACGAUGAGCACUAGGUGUAGCGGGUACUCAUUCCUGCUGUGCCGCAGCUAACGCGUUAAGUGCUCCGCCUGGGGACUACGGUCGCAAGACUAAA
rnacentral:rRNA from 1 species